rnacentral:misc_RNA from 1 species
GUUGCAUUUGGCUUCAUGGAUUUGAGGGAAAAUUUGGAUUUUAAAUUUUAAAAUUAAUAAAUUUGUUCAAGUACAUGGAUGAUUUGGAUGAAAACUAUUCAAGUUUGAAUUGAAAAUACCUAAGAUGCUGUCAUUUCCAAUAUGCUUUUCAAAAUUGUUGUAGGUGCUUCUUUCUUUAAAAAUGCAAACCUUUGUUUAUGGAACUUGAGCUAAAAUCUCAAAUUCAAACCCUAGAUUCCAAACUACUCUUCAAAUAUAAUCCAGUGCAUUGCUUUUUAG